GACGUAGGGCGCGAGCGUUUGUCCGGAUUUAUUGGGCGUAAAGAGCGUGUAGGCGGCCCGACAAGUCUGCUGUGAAAACUCGAGGCUCAACCUCGAGAUGUCGGCGGAAACUGUCUGGCUAGAGUCCGGAAGAGGAGAGUGGAAUUCCUGGUGUAGCGGUGAAAUGCGCAGAUAUCAGGAAGAACACCUAUGGCGAAGGCAGCUCUCUGGGACGGUACUGACGCUGAGACGCGAAAGCGUGGGGAGCGAACAGG
rnacentral:rRNA from 1 species